rnacentral:lncRNA from 1 species
GUGUUUAUACGUAGAAUGAUUUUACCAUAUGAAACUCAAUAAAUUAACAUCUCAUACUAGAUAGCGAGCCCAAACAUAUUUAUUUUUUGACAAAAAUGAAAUUAAACUUGGGAUUUCCUUAAUCUAUAAUUAUCGAAUAACAAAUUAGAAAACAAAUUGAAAUAUGUUUCUUUGCUAGGUACUAACAUACAUAAUUUUGAGUGCGGGAGCUUCGACGAUAGAGGUUGUGUACCUAGCUAAGAAUGGAGACAGUGCAACAUUAUGGAACUCAGCUUGUGGCUCUUUUGGUCAAUUUUGCCAUAAGAUUACAGCUUCAGUAGCUAUCACAUUUGUAGCACUUGUUUGCUAUGUGCUUCUUUCCCUCAUUUCCUCCUAUAAGCUGUUCAGCAAAUUUGAUGUCCCAGCAAGUAGUCCUGCUGAUACAGGCACUGAUGACCACAUUGCUCCUGCAUUCCAUGGCUAGCUUACCCUAAUGUUUGUUGUGUUAUAGGAUAAUAUUUGGUAAUUAUUUUUCUAUGUUUUAUGACUCAAUAGACAUGGCUAAAAAUAUUAAAAAUAUGUAUAAUUAGACCUUUGUUUAUUUUAGAUAUAUGGUUAUGGAUGGCUUUAACUUGUACAAGGUUUUAUGCUAUAUAUCCGGUGAGGCUACUGAUUAAGAAAUUUACAAAUAAUUAAUUAGCUCACUUAGAAUCAAGUGUGUGCAUAUGAACGUGGAUGCGUGUGUGUGGUUUAUAAAAAAAUAUGAUAGCAAGUUCAAGCUUCGUACAAGACAUUUAAAAUGUUAAAGAAGAUCCUGAUUAGAACAAAUUUGUUUUGUUAUGAAUUGAUGACAUUUUUUUGUUAUAUAAUAGAUUCAGAAGUAUGAACAUAAAAGCAGAGAUCAGCAGUAUGAAUGUGGAGAGUUUGAAAUUAGCUUUGAUGAUGAACAAAAUCAUCAACAAGAAAAUUGGGUGGUGAAAAGUGAAAAAUGCAGAUGUUUUGUAGUGUUAAAUCUAUAAAUAUAAGUCAAACUUAAUUGUGUCAAUACUAUUACAGCAUGUCAAAUUACUAUUGGUUAAUACAUUUUAAUGUACCAGUACAUCAUAAUCUUUAUAUUGUGCAGGAUUUAUUCUCUUUUCCUUGUCUAUUCUCUAGCAAACCAAACAAAAAGCAAAAUCCAUGAGGGAAGGACUACACCCUUUUUGGCACAAACGGAACUUUUCGGGCUAAAAUCUAAAACAAAUUAUUAUUAAUUAAAGUGACAUUAAUGAUCAUUUUACGACUAUUCCUGAGGGAUUUGAACACUGUCACUUGAAGUUACAAAGUUAGACUCUUACCACUAACCUUCCACUUCAUGGACUAAAAACCGGCAACUAAUUAUGCUGAAUAAGUUAAAACAUAACAAUGAAUUGCUCUUACUCACCUUGGACUGGUAUGGUAGGCCUAGUUGUAGAUAUUGCAGCUGAAUUAUCAACACUUCAAUUUAUCCAAUUUAGGACUGUUGAUUGUUGCUGAGAUGUUUGAAUUGUUUGGAAGAGGCGAAUGCUCAAAUUUAGGCUUAGAAGAUGAUAUGUAGACAGCUUCCUGAUACAAAUCCUGCCUGAUAUACACAACUUUCUCUUCAACCCUAACAAUUUCCUCUUCCAAAAAUGCCACUUCAGCCAGAAGUGCUAGUAUCUACAAUUUUUUCGACAUUACAAAAACUCAGCACUUAAAUUUCUUCUACAUAGUCCCUUCCUUUCCAACUUAGUAAUAGACAAAAGUACUAAUUCAGAAAAGUACUUAAAAUAGUUAAAGAGAUUCAUUUACUAACAUAUGGAGGUAGAUAAGGAGGAAGACGAGGUAAAGCUCCUAAAGGUCUAUUAAAAGCUCUCUCCAAUGCCCUAUGAAUAUUCUCCUCAUGCUUAAGCUUCUUCUUCAACCUAUCUACCUAAAAUUCAUAUAAUUCAACUCGUUUCAAAUUAUGACCAAUACAAGGAACUGAAAAACUUGAAACAAAAAUAGUAUACAUUAUACAAUACAUACAUCUUGUUGCAAUGCCAACUUUACUUGCAUUUGUCAAGCUUCCUUGCAUCAUCUACCUUUUCAUUCAAAACUAAACAAGUUAGAAUCCAUCAAUACAAACAAAACAAAAAAAUCAUGAACUUUGUCUACUAUUGAAGCCAUUUUUCAAACACAUAAAGGACAAGAAUGCACACAUUUUUCAAACUUCUGAAUUAUAGCAAAUUUAAUCAAAUUUUCAAGUUCUAUAUUUAAUCAGAAAAUCAUCACCGAAACAAACUCAAUUGUUAACUUUUGGUCAAAUCCUGACAUGAACAAGAACAACAGAAUCUACUUUGAAGAAAUACAAAAAUUGAAUGAAGUUCAACUCUAAAUUAUAUACAGAAAUUCCCUCUAGAUAAAAAAUUAUAUACAGAAAUUCCCUCUAGAUCAAAGAAUUUGUCCGAAGAACUCAAUGAAUUUCCAAAACAAUAUCUCACUGGACAACUUAAUUGAAAAUGAAUAAAUAGAAGUUGAGUUUCAAUUUGAAAAGGAAUGGAAAUUGUAAAAAUAUAGAAUCUGGAGAAAAGAGAGAAAAUAAACUUAUAAAUCGCACAUCUAAACUUAUAGAAUGGAAAUUGAGUUUCAAUUUGAACUUACGAAGGAAUUCAAAAUUCCAGAAGAAAAAGGAAUUCAAAAGUCCAGAAGUGAAAAUCGCACAUCUAUUCUUAUUCCAGAGUUGAAGGUUCUCGCGUCGCCGCCAUGCUAGAGGAUCUGGUCGGCAGAGAGAGGCGCAUCGGAAGCAUAUGAACAUAAAGGCAGAGAUCAGCGGUAUGAAUAUGGAGAGUUUGAAAUUAGUUUUGAUGAUGAACAACGGGCGGUGAAAAGUGAAAAAUGCAUAUCUUGUGUGGUGUUAGCUACAAAUAUAAGUCAAACACAAAUAUAAGUCAAACUUAAUACUUGCGGCCUGUCAAUGCAAAUUAUUAUUCGUUAAUAUAUUUUAAUGUAUCAGUACAUCAUAAUCUUUCUAUUGUAUUAUAGAUUAUAGAAGUCUGCUUUUUUAAUUUGUGCAAUUUGUCCGAAGUUACUUACAUUGUGGUAUGGAGGAAGUAAUAGAUAAUUAAUUUAAUCAUAUCAUUUAUUUAUAAAUCUUUUUUUUAAUAUAAUUUAUGUAUGUGAUCUUAUGUGAUCAUAACUGGUGGUCGACAUUGUGCACAAUAAAAGUUUGCAAAUAAGUUUUAAGAUAAGACAAUAAUGCACUAUUUUAUGAGUUAUUAUUCUUAUUUCUUCUUUCUCCUAUGUUAAUUUUUAUAUAUUUGACUAUUUCUCUUCUUUCAUGGACUUCAUCAUUACAACAUCGCCGGCCACUGCCAUCUCCAUCACUGGCGACCGCCGCCGCCAUCCCCGUCUCCAUCACAGUCGUCUUUCCUUCAUCAUUAUAGAUUCACCGACGACGAUUUCAGUCUCUGGUCGGAGUUGUUAGCAAUUAUAUUUGAUCUUAAACUUGCUUGAAGUCUUGAAUUCAAGAAAGCGGUGUGAACAUAGAUAACAUGGAUGCAAUUGAGGUUCUAAGAAACGAGUUCAAACAACAACCUUCCAUUCAAUUCCAUGUCCAAGCUUCAUAUAUUGUCGGAUACUAUAUAACAAUUCAGAUAUAUGAAUUGAUGGUAUGUGUGACUGUUCAGAUGAUGAUGAUGAUCAUAAUAAUAAUAAUAAUGAUAAUAAUAAUAAUAAUAAUAAUAAUAAUAAUAAUAAUAAAAGUAGAUUCCUGUAAGAUGAUAUGUCAGAUAUGUGGUUGUUCAGUUAUAUGAGUUGUUCAGAUAUAUGAGUUGAUAACUCUUCAGAUAAUAUUUAUAAUAAUGCAAAAAGGACAUUCUGUAAGAUGACAGUUCAGAUUCUGUAAGAUGACAGUUCAGAUAUGUGACAUUCCUGCAAAAAGGACAUUCUUGUUGCCUCUUCAGAUAAUAUUUAUAAUAAUGCAAAAAUGACAUUCCUGUAAGAUGACUGUUCAGAUCCUGUAAGAUGACAGUUCAGAUAUGUGACAUUCCUGCAAAAAGGACAUUCUUGUUGCCUCUUCGGAUAAUAUUUAUAAUAAUGCAAAAAGGAUAUUCAUGUAAGAUGACUGUUCAGAUCCUUUAAGAUAACAGUUCAGAUAUGUGACAUUCAUGCAAAAAGGACAUUCUUGUUGCCUCUGAGUCAUCAAAUGAAAUGACGAGCAUAAACCUCGGCGAUUUGGAUCCUAUCCUUCUUUUUUCUCUUCUUUCUAUCUCUCUUAAUUUCAUUCUCUCUAUUCAUUAAAAAUAAUAAUAAUAAUAAUAAUAAUAAUAAUAAUAAUAAUAAUAAUAAUAAUAAUAUAAUAAAGAGAGAGUAUAGAUUAAGAGAGAAAUAGAGAAUCAAGGAAAAUGCAUACUCAUGUCCUGCCAUAAUGACAUUGAUUGCUAGUUCAGUCUCUCCAUACCUAACCUCCUAACCUGCCUCUACUAUUCUCCACUCUCCAUACACUUCUAUAAUACCACCCCAUUGAUUUCCCUCAAAAGCUCAAACACUACUUACUCAAGUACACAUACAUGCUUCUCUUCUCUUAUGAUGAGACCUGUUACUGCUACUGCUGCAACUGAUGAUCAGGAGUUAGAAGGUAACAAAAUUACCUUCCUACGGACUGCUGAGACUUUUCUGUGUUUGCUUCCUAUUGGUCUUUGUGUUUUAGCUCAUGUCCUUAUGCUUAAGAACUCUGAAGAAAACGAUUAUGGUUCUGUUUCUUACAUUGACCUUGGUGCUUUCAGGUAUAUACAUACUAGCUAGUACUAUAUAAGAAAUUAUUAUUUCCACAAAUGGAUAGAAACUAGCAAUUGUUUUGUGUACAUAUUUCAUACAAUUUGGCUCAUCUUUAUGAAUGUUAAAGUAAGAUAUCUCACUCGUUAUAAACUAUGUGGCCAAGGUUCGAUCGCUUAAGUAAAGUCGUCAUGUUUGAUCACUGACUUCCGUGUAGAAAAUUCAGUCGGGACAGGAGAAUUGUCCUUGUAUUUUCAACGAAUUUAGUGAAAGAGAUUAGGAAUAUUUAUGAACUGGCUGAGUAUAAACUAUUGGAAAUUAGGAAAGUUGUACUAGUAAUUAGUUCAACAUCUUCUUGCCAUGUUCCAAGAUUUGGCCUAUAAUCGAUGCUGUACUUCAAAUGACUGAAUUGAGGAUACCUAUGGGAAGUAGCUAAGUUUAGGCCUUUAAUAGGAAAGGCUGGAUUUGAAUCUUGGUCUAUUUUGGACAGCUGAUAUCCUUAUUUAUUACCAUCCUAAUUAUUGAUCUUGAUCCAAAUUAAGAUAUAUUUGGACAUGCAUUAAUAAUUUGUAUUAUGUUGUUUGCUAUCGAAAUACUAUAUAUGCAUAGUAGGAUCAAGAUCAAAUUAUUUGUAUUUGGAAUAUAAUUAGUGAUCUCAAAAUACAAGUCAUCUGAUCUUAAACUAACGACUACUUUUCUAUAUUGACUUUCAAUAACGAGUUUAUAACAUAGACUUAUCUUACCAAGUGACAUAUAUUACUAUCUCAAUAAUUGAACAUCUCAUAGACUCUAGAUAGCGAGCCCAAACAUUUUUUUUUAGAAAAGCUCCUUAAUCUAUACUUAUUGAAUGACAAAUUAGAAAGAAAAAAAAUUUGAAAUAUGUUUCUUUGCUAGGUACUAACAUACAUAAUUUUGAGCGUGGGAGCUUCGACGAUGGAGGUGAUGUACCUAGCUGAGAAUGGAGACAGUACAAUAUUAUGGAGCUCAGCUUGUGGCUCUUUUGGUCAAUUUUGUCAUAAGAUUACAGCUUCAGUAGCUCUCACAUUUGUAGCAUUUGUUUGCUAUGUGCUUCUUUCCCUCAUUUCCUCCUAUAAGCUGUUCAGUAAAUUUGAUGUCCCAGCAAGUAGUCCUGCUGCUAC